UGACUUGACGCAUGAGAAAUUGGAUUUGAUUUCUAGGAGCAAUGUAAAUCUGCUCCGGGCUGCUCAUGUAGUUCCAAUUUUUGAAAAACAUGUGUUGAGCUUUUGAUUCAAGAAGAGUAUGUUUCUGUCUGUGGCCGUAAAAGUAAAGGAUAUUGUGACGACACCUCUUUUGAUAUGGUAAUAUGGUUUCCUAAUAUAUGAUAACCAUGGAUAGAAAACUUGUAUGCUCCAUUGCGGGAAUUGUCAUAUUCAGUUUAUGUUAGAUAUAUGGGAUAUGUAACGGUUUCGAAAUUUAAAUGAAGAUAUAUAUAUUAAAAAUCUUAAAUGCGGAAGCGUAAUAAAAAUUUUGAUUAACAUUCCUUAUACAAUAGCAAAAAACGUACUCAAAUCAUGAAAGAAUAAGUUAAUUAAAAGUGAUACUCGAAAUAAAAACCAUAAAUGGAGUUAUAAAGUCCUUAGGCGUCUAACUCGCCGUCUUUCUACGGAACGGUCUCGGGAAUCACGUCUUCCUGAUCUGAAAUGGUUAAGUAAGGAAUGAGCUACACUAGCUCAGUAAAGAUAUCACACUAUCUCACUGCCACAUGAGGAAAGGUUGGUAGAAAACAAAAACAACCAAUGGAGCAUAAUUUACAACAAACUCAUUAACAUAAAAACCUUUACUGUCCACUUAUCUCGGUGAGAUUCAUGAAAAUAACCUUAUAAUAUCAUGAAAUUAUACACACUUUAUAACAUAACACAUAUCAUACAUUUACAUUUCAAUCAUCAGAAAACAGAUUUUCUUUUUUACCAGCCUACUAGUAUCCAUGAGGAUCCAUAGGGGGUCCCCGCUACACGUGAACCAUUAACAUUUACAACCUGAUUCCAGGGCCGUCCCCAUACCCCGUCCGGUAUGAGGGUAAAACGGGUCGUUCUCAUACCCCGUCCGGUAUGAGCUCCAAAACACAUAAGAUUUUCAUACUCCGUCCGGUAUGAGAGACCACGUUCCCGGUAAGGUUCCCUACGGACCCAGUCCGUCCACCAUCUCCCAGGAUAUCUAGUCAGGCUGUCCACAUUAUCCACUCAUCAAUUCACAUAACCUUUUUGCCAUUUUCCUUGGUCUCACUCAUCCAAUCAUACACAAACAUGUAAACCAGUAAUGACACCAAGUAAGACAACACAGUAUCGGGUUCACCAUAAUACCAACCAUAAUAAAAGAAACCAUAAUUCAUGCAUAUGAGACUAUAAAAUGAAUACAUCAAAUAUCAUGCUGCAUUUAAUACUGAAAAAUAGAUCAAACAACAAGUGAUCAACAAUGUACCAGAUUCGGGCUCCAUUGGCAACCUUAAUCAAUUUCACAUCUAUAAAGUCACAAAAUACCGUUUAAUUAUUUAUUAAGCUUUAAUACCGUGAUAGAAAUAGGGUGAGGGGUCCUUACUUAUUUCGGGGUCUGAAAUCGACUCUACAGUGCGCCUAUGGGCUGUCCCUAAUUUCUCUGAAUUUUUUCUGGAAAACUGAAACGCACUACUGGUACCUGCACGUGUCCCAAAAAAUUCAAAAUCAGAUCUAGGGCUCCUUUCGGCUAAUAUCGGAAUUCCGGCACGGAGGCUCUGCCGUGCUCCGACGAUGGCGCCGACGCCGACGCCUGCGGCGGCGAUCAGCCUCGGGUUGGCCAUUUUCAACCGUUUUCGGCCAAACUUGCAUCGGUUCCUGCGAUAAAACAACCUUAGGGCCUUCGGUGGGCCAAAAAAUCACGAAAAACCGAGACUUACUGGUGGCGGUGUUCUCGGGUGCGGCGGCUCCUUCGGCGUGAGUCGUGUUUUGAUGUUUGGCUCCGAU
rnacentral:lncRNA from 1 species